rfam:Phlebiopsis gigantea 11061_1 CR5-6 unplaced genomic scaffold PHLGIscaffold_70, whole genome shotgun sequence.
GGCGCUAUAGUGUAGUGGUUAUCACUUGGGAUUCUGAUAUCAAAUUCCCAAGACCCAGGUUCGAGCCCUGGUAGCGCCU